rfam:Arabidopsis lyrata subsp. lyrata unplaced genomic scaffold ARALYscaffold_5, whole genome shotgun sequence.
AGGGACUGUGGUCUUUGUUUGCGACCCAUACGUAAUCUUUUGUGAGAGACUACGUGUGGGUGGCAAACAAAGACGACAAUCCCU